UUUUUCUGAAAGGAGAAAGAAGAGAUCUGAUGGAGAAGUUGGAGAGAUUUGAAGAAUGAGAUUUGCACCACUGCUGGUGUGAAAAUGGAGGCGGCAACAUGAUGAGGGUUGACUGGAGCCUGAUGAGAUAAGAACCAUUCCCAGCAGACAGUCAGCCAAAAUGGGAGACUCAGCCCACAUCCACAAAAAAACCGAAUUCUGCCAACAACUUGAAUAAGCUUGGAAGCAGGUCUCCAAGCCCACCCAAGACAAGCUCCAUUUUCAGGGGAGCAGAGAAGACAUUCCCAUGCCUCAUCACAACCUGGGAAGCUGCAGUAAACCAUAUCAUCUCAUGAAAGCCUCUUGGGAGAGGUAGGUUCAGUGGGAGAUGGCCUCACAGAAGCUCCUCAUCAUGCUCCUAGCCUCUCCUGUUCUGGAAGGAUCACAAAGCAUUCUUCUAAGGCUCAGGUGGUGCCUGCUCACAAGUGACUCAAAGUCGAUCAUUUGGCACUGUCAGGGCUGCCACUCCAAAUGAUGUUGAAGCCCUGACUCCACCUCCAUAAAGGCUGCAGCAUCCCAGGUGACACCAAAUGAAGCUAUAUUAUCCUUCAGCCCUCCAGGUGCUGGAGCUAUAGAGUAACCAGAAAGAAGCAGAGAAUACCAAUCUCUUGGCUUGUGUUGACUUUCUCACCCAGGCCCCCAAGCAGCACUUGUACUCAGAGUCCCAUAAAGACUCAAGGAAACAGCUAUUUUAUCCUGUGGUUUUAACAUCUUUCUCCACAAGGAGUCAAAAACCACAGCUCAGGAAGCACUGACAGUAGUAGUAGUUGUUUCAUUAUCUCAUUAUCCCAAGUCUCCCUGAAUAAGGUGCCCUCCUCCAGCCUAAAACAAACACCUGGUGUGUAUAACAUCAUACAGAUAGACCCUGGUAGAUAAUAUCUGUGUGUGUUCGAGUUUGUAUUUGGGGAGGGGGUGCUGCUGAGCACCAUACAAGUUUGUGUUUAGAAUGAUGUCUAUCCUACCCUCAUGCAUGCUGAGUGGAAAAAUUGUAUUUGGUAAAGAUUAGUCAUUACUCAAUUUGGGGUAAUUUUUUGUUGUGCUUAAAAUCCUUUGAUACUUGGAAUACUUCAGAAUGUUUAUUAUAGAUUGAAGUUAUACAAAGGUAACAACUUAUUUGCAGAUACCUAAAGGGAGCUGGCAAUCACAUUCAGACCCAUAGAAGCAUCCAGUUAGGCAUUAAAACAGUAUUUUAAGUUUUUAAAACUAAGUUGUUAUGAUUUUAAAAUUAAGAAAUUUCACUUUAAAAUAUCUUAAUGUUCAUAUGUAUUUGAACAAUCACACUGUGCCCUCAUUUCUAAAUGGCAGUAAUGGGUUAUGACUUUUAGAGAGGGCUUUAGUCUCUGGCUUUUGGCACUUUCUACUUGCCUGUUUAUUCUGUAGGUAUUUAUAUUUGUGUUAUCUACUUUAGAGUCUCACUCAAAUGGCAUACUUAUGGAGGUGUCUAAAGUAAUUCUAUAGAAGUCAACUAACUCUACUAAAACCUCUAUAAAUAUCACAUCAUAAAAUCUUGAUCUUAAUUUCAUCUUCUCCAGUGAUUUCCAAAAUUUUAUCCAUGAACCAGCAUCUGAAUGGCUGCAGGAAAAUUAACUGGGAUAGUUUUCUGAAUUUGAAUUAGUAGGCCCCCAUCCUUAAAUACGUUGAUUUCAGUGUGGGUCAGGGAUGGAGCCUGUCUACCUUUUUCACUAAAAUAUCUGGGCAAUUCUCUUGCAUAGUGUAUUGGGAGCCAUUGGUUCCCUGUCCUUCUCACCCUAGGUGGGGAGGGAUGAGAGGGCCACAGAAGUACAUUAACUACUGCAGCUGAACUGCUGGACAGGUCCAUUAAUUAAAUUUAUUGGCAUUAAUCACUUUAUUUCAAUCUGUCAGAGCAUCUCACUGAAUGAGAAGGUCAGGACCCAAGAGAAAGGUAGCUGAAGCCAAUAUUACAGAAGCAGAAGUGGAUCAGAUGUCUCUUCUGCUUCUUCUAUUUUAAUCCAACUUAUUCUCUGAUGAACAUAAGCUUCUCUGCCCUGCUCAGCCUCCAAAUUCCCCAGACUUCUUACAAUUUUUCAAAACCUUUGAUGGAGUGGGGGAAAACGUGAGGAGGAGUGAGAAGGGUAGGCACUUGAGUGAUUCUUUAGUUUGAUAUUUCUCUAAAUUUACUUCCACUUUUUCUUUAAUCUCCUCUGUCCACAGAUAUUCUUUGAGAUCCUUACACAGUAUCAAGACAGCACACUGACAUUCUGAUUGUGAAUAAAUAUUUCAAAUAAAUAUCUUUAGUGUGGACUUUGAUAUUGAUCUUUUUUUUAGGUCUUUGUCAGUAUUUUUUACUGGAUAAGAUUCAUCACGUAUUUCCGGGUAUAUUGUUUUAUACUCAGAGGUGGUGUAUGGUGGAGGUAGAGGAAGAAAUUAGGAGCUUCGAAUUGGGGACCAGAAUCCUUGUGUCUUCUGGAAUCUAGUCGAUGUCUGAGGUGUCACCUCACUCAGCACUCCAUUAACAGCUUUAAAAAAAUAUAGCAGUUAAAAAGGUAAAGUCGUAACAGACACAGGAAAGCAACAAUGUUCUGGUUUGUGGGAUUAAUCAAAGGAAAAACUGAUAGGUGAGACUAAGUAGCUACCCAUUGCUGGAAGACAGAUGCUGCUUCUGUAGAUAUGAACAAAUGGCAAAUGAGAUAAACUCUCUUGAAUUAUAAUGAGUUCUUUUGUCUGUAAAAAUAUUUCAAAUCCCAUGCAUGAGAAAAUAGAAGUAAUGCAACAUAACUUUUGUGUUUUUGCUGAAUGCUCCCAAUGCAACAGAAACUACGAUUAAAUAAAAUGUAGGUUUAAGAGAUCCAUGAAAAGAAGUCAUACAUAUGCUCAGGAGCUCUUUUAUUUUUUUCUUCCUUCUCUCUUUCUUUUUAAAAUCAUCCUCCUUCAUCUUUAGCAUCAUCUAUCUUUCUCUAUGCAAAGCACCACCACCUCAAACUGAGCGGCUUAACACAACAACCAUUUGAGACAUUUGCUUCAGCAUAUACCUGUAGUCUCAGCUGGGAGGCUGAGGUGGGAGGAUUGCUUGAGAACAGAAGUUUGUAGCCAGUCUGGGCAACAUAGCAAGACCCCAUCUCUUAAAAGAUAACAAUUUUAUUUUUAGCUCACAGUUCUGUGAGUCAGCAAUUUGCGCUAGGCUCAGCUGUCCAGUUAUUCUGCUCUGUUGUCAGUUAUGCAUCUGUCAGCUUAUGGAAAGCCAGGUUGGCUACCUGUUAGCUGGGGUAUCGGGGAGAACUGAGCAAGUAUCUUUUAAUACACAACAGGCUAGCCUGUAUUGGUUCACAUGGUGGCUGGGAGGAUUCUGAGAGAGAGUGAAGGCACGCAAGGCCUCCUGAAGAGUAGGUUUGGAACUGGUACAAAUAUCAUUUCUGCUGCAUUCUAUUGGUCAAAGCAAGUCACAGCCCAGAUGCAAACAAUUAA
ensembl:lncRNA